UAUGGCUCAGUUGGUAGAGUGUUUGCCUUACAAGCACAAGGCCCUGGGUUCAAUCCCCAGCAGCGCAG